GUCCUCAUUGAGUUAGGCAAGCCAAUUGCUCUUGUCAUUGAUUUAUUCUGCACCAAAGCUUUCGAUAUAGGCAGAGAACUAUCAAUCCCAACGUACUCGUUUUGCACGACAUCCAUCGCAUUUCUUGCAUUUUCACUGUAUCUUCCUACUCUUGACAGGGAAGUGGACUGUGAAUUUGUUGAUCUCCCUGGAACGAUUAAUAUCCCUGGC
rnacentral:misc_RNA from 1 species